AGUAAAUAUUAGCAUUUUAGCUCAAUAGCUCUCAGGUCAUGUGACGUAUUGACCCCAAACUAAUGCAGAAUGAUAGUGCUACUAAGUAUGGUCAACAUACGGCAAUUUAUAUUUGAUUUUAGGACAUUAUUGAUUUUUAACAGUUUUUUGACAGUAAAUAUUAGCUUUAUUGCUCAAUAGCUCUCAGGUCAUGUGACGUAUUGACCCCAAACUAAUGCAGAAUCACAAUGCUACCUUACCUGGUCAGCAUACGCCAAAGAAGAAGAAAUAGCUUGGCUUAAAAGAUUUUAAAGCAAAAAAUUAAACAUUUUUUAAUGUAAA